rnacentral:sRNA from 1 species
GCCCAUGGUGGCACAUGUCUGUGAUCCCAGCGACUUGGGAGGCUGAGACAGGAGGAUAGCAAGUUCAAGGCCAGCCUCAGCAAUUUAGCAAGAUCCUGUCUCAU